rnacentral:rRNA from 1 species
CCUCCAGACUCCUACGGGAGGCAGCAGUGGGGGAUAUUGCACAAUGGGGGAAACCCUGAUGCAGCGACGCCGCGUGUGGGAAGACGGUCCUCUGGAUUGUAAACCACUGUCCCCAGGGACGAAGAUGACGGUACCUGGGGGGGAAGCUCCGGCUAACUACGUGCCAGCAGCCGCGGUAAUACGUAGGGAGCAAGCGUUGUCCGGAAUUACUGGGUGUAAAGGGAGCGUAGGCGGGAUGGCAAGUUGGGUGUUAAAUCUACCGGCUCAACUGGUAGUCGCACUCAAAACUGCUAUUCUUGAGUGAAGUAGAGGCAGGCGGAAUUCCUAGUGUAGCGGUGAAAUGCGUAGAUAUUAGGAGGAACACCGGUGGUGAAGGCGGCCUGCUGGACUGUGACUGACGUUGAGGCUCGAAAGCGUGGGGAGCAAACAGGAUUAGAUACCCCCGUA